GACCAACAGAGCUUGUGUGAGGGGCUAAGAAAGCUCUCCCUAGGGGCAGGCACAGAACUGGCAACUGUGCUGAAGAGAACAAAGGCCAAAGAGGAGGGCACCAGGCUGGAGGAGCCCCGUGGGGCUGCAUCAUGGGGGAAGGGCACGCAGAAACCUGGAGGUGAGGUCCGUGGAGACAAGAGACAGCUGAGAGCAGAAAUAAAAACAGGCUAGGUCCCAAAGGAUGGCAGCUUCAAUCCCGUAAACACCAGACAGGCGUGGGGGUUCAGGUGCAGGCCUGGGGGACCAAGGGGAGGGUGGGACCUUUCUAGUAUUCUUCAUCAGUGAUGAUGACGCUGAGCUGAGCGGAAGCACUGUCAACCCUGCUACUAGUCACAGCAGGCAUCAGACAUUCAGCGGAGGGAAACAGCCACCCACCCUCCUAGGUAGUCCCCCACAGUCCAGAUGGUCUCUUCCAGCACCCCCUAAGUCCCGGCCAGCUCCGCCCACAUGGACUCUUGAGGAUUCAUCUGUUUGGAGGGGAACAUCCUUUUCCCAUCCCCAUGGGGCUCAGCAAACAUGGCUGCAGGUGCAGGAGGUAAAGCUCGAGCUGCUGCUGUAACUGCCAGCAAUGCCUGACCUACAUCUCCAUGGUUGGUUGCAUGCAAAGAAAAAUACCAGGGAUUUCCGUUGGCGUUCACCAGAUGCAGCUGCCAAGGGAAGUUUGGGCCUUUGGAAGCAUUGCCCUAACUUGCAAAGUUGAAGAUACCAGAGACACAACAUGGAGGAGGAGGGGUUCAAACCCAGGUGUGUCGCCUGUGUUCUCCCAUGGUAGAAAAUUGGAGGCAGCAUGGACGGAUUUCAAGGCAGAAGACCUGCGUUCCCUCCAUGGCUACCUUUCUCCCCCCAGGAACAUCAGAGUUCUAGGAAAGCAGUAUCCUUGACUGUCGUGUUCAUCACAGCACCCCUGCAACGUAGCACAGGACCCCGCAGGUGCUGUCACUGCUACCUGGGAAUCAGUGGACCGACAGGCAGCCAGGACGGGCAUCCGUGCCUUGCGAUGACUCAUCUACUGGGAUACCAGGGCUGCUGAGCGGAGCCUUGGAAUCCUUCCCUGGCACUCGAGGCUCCCACAUAUCUGGCUCCAGCUGACCUUUCUGGCUUUAUAAUCUAGUAAGAGAGACCCUUCCACAAAUAGUCCACACUGGCCUGCCACUGCUUAUGGGGCUCGGGAGUCCCUCCCAGCCUGCAUGUCUCAGCUCACGCGGACUCCCUGCUAGGAGCACCAGCCAGUUUCCCGGUCUCUGUGGUAAGCCCCAGCACAAAAUCUCACUUCUUCUGUGAAGCGCUUCUCUUAUUUGGCAUCUAGCAUUGCCUUUCACAAAAUCUUUUUAUAUGCAUUAUAUCUUUUUUUUCUAAUUCAAUUGGAAGUAUCUUGAGAGCAGAACUGGGUCUUCAAUGGUGAUACUCAGUUAAUAAAUCUUGGGAAAAAGGCUCUCCUUGAAACGAAGUUGGCUGGGUCCACAGAGGGUGGGGGAGUGUGUCCAGCUCCUCCCUGCUAGACUGGCCCCUACGGCCAACGAGGAGGAAGAGAAGAUCAUGCUCCAGGAGCCCCGCUGAUGAGGCAGUGAGGAAACCAACAAACCCGGCACCAUCACGUGUCGUCUAGGACAAUCCCAGGGUCACAUGUGUCACUGGAUUUUUGAAAAAACAUCACUUUCAAGAAUCUGGGCAUAAUUUACUUAUCAAUCAUAAAGAAUGAUACAAAAACUGCUUAGCUCAAAGGCAAUUGUAUGGUAUCCACUUCGGUGAACUAAUGUUAGUUCUGAUUCUUGUCUUCUUACACUCUCCUUUCACCUGACCCCCUAGGUAUUUUAUCCUUUUGGUUCUAUGAAUCUUCCUAAAUUGCUUCCAACUCUUUGGAAAACAGAGUGAGGUUCCAAUGAAGAUAACAGUUGGUCCAGUUUUCUUUAAAAUGCUACAAUGGUGCACAAAAAAGGAUUUACCAAAUAACAACUAAAGAUAAGUGACAAAAAUAAUGCAUGUAAAUCAUUGAGUACAGUGCGGGGCACUUAGUGAGCAUUCAAAAGGUCAGGUGAAAGAACACUCCGAAUUCUUAUUAGCUUCUCUUCUCUGGGCCUCAGCUUUUUCAUGUAUACAAUAAAAACUAAAAACAAUGCCUUAGGUUUGUUCAUUUGGUCAAUCAUUCAUUCUGAAAUCAUUCACUGAAUGUUUACUACCUGCAAGGCACAGUUUUCGGCACUAGAGAUAAAAUGAACAAACCAAAGUUCUUAUAAUCAUGGGGCAUAUAUUCUAGUGGAAGAGACAGCCAAAAAAAACCCAAAACACAAAAAAACAAGUGAACAAACAAAAAGAAACUUUCAGAUAGAGGUCAGUGCUAUGACAA